rnacentral:lncRNA from 1 species
GUUGGGUGGUGGCUUAUGUUGGGAAUUCUAGGGAAGGUUAAAUCACAUGAGUAAAUCACCACAUUGGAUUAAAAAGCAACAACACAAGUGAGUUUGAGCUCCGCAUAUGUACCUAAAACUCAAGGUAUUCGGUAUAUGAGUCUUCUCACUUUCUUGUUGCUCAACAUCUACUUAAUUCAAUACAAGACUUCUAAUUAACA